AGUUUAAGCCAUAAUAACUGAAAUUGAGAUAAACUAUACCUUUUUUCUAACUUUUAUAAGUUUAGGCUUAUUACUGAAUCAUUAAGGCCCUUAUCCCACCACGAAAAAUGCCCUUGGUCGGGUUUCUUAAGGACAACAAUAUUAAAUCUUUAAUGUCCUGGUUUAACCCCAGGUCUCUUGUCAUAUGGCUUCUACCUUUGACCUGUGAUUUGUGGGCUAAUCUGAUCUAUUAGACAUAUUUGUUUUCUUCGAUAGACAUGCCCCCUAGCAGCAUCCUGAAAUUAGAUUGAACAAAUGCAGCAUUGAUGCAUUUGUUCAAUUACAGAGAGCCAGUCAGGUCAGCCACUGUUAGAGAUCCUUAUGGGAGAGAAUGGUUUCGAUAGCAAACUCCAGACAUAGAAGUAUCUUAGAUCGCUUACGUUAGAUGAGUGCAAUUUUAAACCUCUACAUAUAUUGUAUACAAUUAAAAUGUGAUAUGAAAACAAUUGCGGCAGAUACCUUUCAGUUUAGGUAUUCAGUUUAGAUCUUGGUGGCAGAAUUAACAAAAAUAAAUCUCUGAUUAGCAUUUUAAGACCUAGUUAUUAAACUUAUUAAAUGCUUAAAGCAUACUUACCCCACAUAGUGAUGAACCUGAAGCAGUUGUCUCCAUCUGUGUUAACAUCCUCUAAUUACACAAGCUGUAAAGCAGCCUUUUUACCCUCUUCCUUUCUGUUUGGCACCUGCGAUCUUUCAGAUGUGGACCCGUUGGACCUUCCCCUGAUUAAUGGGCCUGAUUGGCAAUAGAGGAGACUGACAAACGAUUGGAGGGUUUCAUUCCUCUAAAAAUCCAAGUCAUUAUUGGAGAGCAGUGAAUCUCUGCAAUCUAAUAAUGCUCUCAGUGUUCUUUUCAAGCUUUUAAACUAAUUCGUGAUUGAUCACUAAUUAUCGGUGACGGAGCCUCUCGAGACAGCACUUUCCAGCUCUGAAUGUUUGUUCCUAUCUUAAAACAGUUUGAAAGGAGCUAUAACUUCCAAAUGGUUGACUCUGCUCCCUGGUGGAGAGUCAAUAGACCGCCUUGAGACGUUUGAGUGAACAUUGAUGUUCUUUGCCAAUAUGCAAUAUUGCCUCUCGACAGAAUAAAACACCUGGAACUGGCCGUCUGGUUUUGAUGGGACCGUAGUCGGCAAUCAGCAGUGCUGCUGCUCUUAUUGAACUCCUUAUUGGGUAUUUGUAUAGUGCUCCCCACACGCACUUUAGCAGGCAGAAGUCGGUUGACAAAUCCACAUUCUGUAAUUGCGUGACCAUUGAUUUCAGUUCCAGUCAAAAAGAGAGAAAAAAGGGAAGUGCCUCCUUAAAGACAAGACAUAUAUUAGUGUAAUGCCGAUGGCAAAGGCACGUAUAUGUCGAGUGAAAGGAGCACACACACAUACACGCACGCACACACGCGCACACACAAGAGGGUGUAAAGACACUGAGCCCCUGGCUCUUCCACAGACGUCUCACCGGAAUAACGUUUGCUUUUCUGUGUUGAUAUUAUUGUCUUUGCUUGUUCACUUUGCAGAAUAAGUGAGUUUUGUAGCUUGUUGUUUGUGUUGUCACAGAAUGUGGAAAUGAAGACGUCUGAAUCUUUCAAGUGAAACUUCUGUUUCUACAAAUUUUGGACAGAUGAUUAAUAUUUAUGCAGUCCUAACCAGAACAUUUCAGGAGGCAACAGAGCUUCAUAUGGUGCGACGCAAGCUGCCGGUCCAUUGCUUCAUGCAGCAACAGUGUAAGACCC